AGCUGAUGAGUCCCAAAUAGGGCGAAACGCGCGUCCU
rfam:Schistosoma rodhaini strain Burundi genome assembly, scaffold: SROB_scaffold0002384